GACGAACGCUGGCGGCGUGCCUAAUACAUGCAAGUCGAACGCAGUGGGGACGGGUGAGUAACACGUGGGUAACCUCCCAUCAGAGGGGAUAAAAAUUGGAAACAGGUGCUAAACCGAUACUGAUGGAUGGACCCGCGGGGCAUUAGCUAGUUGGAGAGGUAACGGCUCACCAAGGCCACGAUGCAUAGCCGACCUGAGAGGGUGUUCGGCCACCGUGUGACUGAGAUACGGCCCAGACGCUGACGGGAGGCAGCAGUAGGGAAUUUUCGGCAAUGGACGAAAGUCUGACCGAGCAACGCCGCGUGAGUGAAGAAGGUUUUCGGAUCGUAAAACGCUGUUGUUAGAGAAGCGGUAUCUAACCAGAAAGCCACGGCUAACUACGUGCCAGCCGCCGCGGUAAUUC
rnacentral:rRNA from 1 species